rnacentral:rRNA from 1 species
UGACAAACCGGAGGAAGGUGGGGAUGGCGUCAAGUCCUCAUGGCCCUUAUGGUAGGGCUUCACACGUCAUACAAUGGUCGGUACAGAGGGUUGCCAAGCCGCGAGGUGGAGCCAAUCCCUUAAAGCCCGAUCGUAGUCCGGAUCGUAGUCUGCAACUCGACUACGUGAAGUCGGAAUCGCUAGUAAUCGCAGAUCAAGCAUGCUGCGGUGAAUACGUUCCCGGGUCUU